GUGCUCACUUCGGCAGCACGUAUACUAAAAUUGGAAUGAUACAGAGAAGAUUAGCAUGGCCCAUGUGCAAGGAUGACAUGCAAAUUCAUGAAGCGAUCCAUAUUUUU
ensembl:snRNA Gm23002 predicted gene, 23002